rnacentral:rRNA from 1 species
AACGAACGCUGGCGGCAUGCCUAACACAUGCAAGUCGAACGAUGCCUUCGGGCAUAGUGGCGCACGGGUGCGUAACGCGUGGGAAUCUGCCUUUCGGUUCGGAAUAACUCAGGGAAACUUGAGCAAAUACCGGAUAACGUCGCAAGACCAAAGAUUUAUCACCGAAAGAUGAGCCCGCGUAGGAUUAGCUAGUUGGUGAGGUAAAGGCUCACCAAGGCGACGAUCCUUAGCUGGUCUGAGAGGAUGAUCAGCCACACUGGGACUGAGACACGGCCCAGACUCCUACGGGAGGCAGCAGUGGGGAAUAUUGGACAAUGGGCGAAAGCCUGAUCCAGCAAUGCCGCGUGAGUGAUGAAGGCCUUAGGGUUGUAAAGCUCUUUUACCCGGGAAGAUAAUGACGGUACCGGGAGAAUAAGCCACGGCUAACUACGUG